rnacentral:rRNA from 1 species
UACGUAGGGGGCGAGCGUUGUCCGGAUUUAUUGGGCGUAAAGGGCACGUAGGCGGUCACGAAAGUUGGCGGUGGAAUCGCCCGGCUUAACUGGGCGGGGUCGGCCAAAACUCCGUGACUGGAGGGCAGGAGAGGAAGACGGAAUUCCCCGAGUAGUGGUGAAAUGCGUAGAGACGGGGAGGAACACCGGUGGCGAAAGCGGUCUUCUGGGCUGUCCCUGACGCUGAGGUGCGAAGGCGUGGGGAGCAAAC